rnacentral:lncRNA from 1 species
AAUCCAAGAUAAUUGUUUCUUCUCUGUCAUUACCCCUUCACAUCCUCUCCCCCUUGACAGGUGUCCUUUAAUCAACUGAUGAAGGGUCUGGGACAGAAACCUCUUUACACCUACCUCAUUGCAGGGGGUGACAGGUCUGUGGUGGCCUCUAGGGAGGGGACAGAAGAUAGCGCCUUGCACGGGAUUGAGGAACUGAAGAAGGUGGCUGCUGGGAAGAAGAGGGUGAUUGUUGUUGGCAUUUCUGUGGGACUCUCUGUGAGUAGAAAGAUGGGUUGAGUGGAUGAAUUUUAGAGAGAAGAAGUGAGUGGGAAUGGAAUAGCAUGGGAGAUAGAUCAGUGAGGUUGGUGCUAGAAAGCAGGAAGUUUGCUCAAGGAAUUUUGGUUUUCAUUUCACUAACUUGGAUCGAGUUGUAUGACUGUGGGAAGAUGGGAAGGGUUUCUAUUUCAGAAUAACUGUAUCAAUCAAUCAGCAACCAAGAUAGGUGGACUAGCCCAGGGGUAAGCGAACUAUACUGGCUGGCCAAUGCAGCCAGCUGCCUGUUUUUAAAAAAAAUUUUUUUUUUGAGACAGAAUCUCACUCUGUCACCCAGGCUGCAGUGCAAUGGCGUGAUCUCAGCUCGCUGCAGCCUCCACCUCCCAUGCUCAGAUGUGAUUCUGUGCAUGAGCUGCCUGGGGAAUGUUUCAGAAAAAUAAAGAUUCUUAGUUCCUUGUGUAAGAAGUCUGGUUUUGUAGGUUUGGAGUAUGGCCCUGAAAUUCCUAUUUUUUGAAAGCAUCCCUAGAGAUUCUGAUGCAGAGCCAGAAUUGGGGAACUCUGCUAAAUAAACCACUGGAUUGGGCCACCUGACAAAGCUGAGGGCUUCCUGACACCAGAGGGAUGCGGCAGAGGCUUGUUGAUGAUUUUAGAGCAGCUUUUUGUAUUUAGCGCUGGUCUUGGGAAGGGGUACAAGCGGGUUUUUCGAAGGUGCUUUUCUACCUCCCAGAUUCUAGGCUGUAGUAUAAUUCAUGAGAAGUUGUAAAUGAAUGUGAAAUACCCGAACCCUGAUCCUUUUCAUGGAGGGCCCUCCUUCACCAAAAUGUAUCUGCUGCAGUGGAUGCUAAUUUCAGGCCCUAUGACUAAGUGAAAUGAAGAAUUUCAAACAGUGUAGGCGUGGAGAUCUUCCAGUUGUUCCUUAAAUCAGUGGCUCCCAAACUUGGCUGAUUUUCAGAGUCAUCUGGGAAGCUUUCUAAAAAUACAGAUUUUGGGGCUCCACUCCAGAACUACUGAAUCUGAAUCUUAGGGUGGAUGUGGUACCAGAAAUGGAUGGUUAUUAAAAA